UUUGUCUGCAGGAUAGGGACGCAACCUUCAGUAGCCUCGCGGGCCCCAGAGUUCCGGCAAGGGUCGCGCAGGCAUAAAGACUGUCGGAUCCCCCUGGAACUGCGUUUAGAAACAGAUGUGAUCUACAUGUGGGAGAGGGAGCCAGACCCUGGUGCUCUGGAACCGAAUGUCCCUUCCACUCAGGAAUUUCUCUCUCAGACAUCAUCUGGCUGUGUGCAAAGGUGAGUAUGAGCGACUCCAUAUCUUUCAGCUAG
rnacentral:lncRNA from 1 species